rnacentral:miRNA from 13 species
UGCGAAGUGUUCGACCUCCCCU